GGAUAAAAGCUACCCCGGGGAUAACAGGCUUAUCUCCCCCAAGAGUUCAUAUCGACGGGGAGGUUUGGCACCUCGAUGUCGGCUCGUCGCAUCCUGGGGCUGGAGAAGGUCCCAAGGGUUGGGCUGUUCGCCCAUUAAAGUGGCACGCGAGCUGGGUUCAGAACGUCGCGAGACAGUUCGGUCUCUAUCUACAGUGGGCGUUAGAGAUUUGAGUGGACCUGCUUCUAGUACGAGAGGACCGAAGCGGA
rnacentral:rRNA from 1 species